AGAGAGAGCGAGAGGAGGAGGAUGAGAGGAAGAGGAGGAGAGCACUGAAGACGUCUGCUUACAAAUUUAUGUGACCCAUGGUCUUCACAAAUGGUUGGAUACAGACAUUGAUAAUAUCAAUGUGGGAUUAAGGGUGAUUACAUGCACACCCUUUGGGACACUUUAUUCCAAUGAAUUAGCCGAGUGAAUGAGCAGCAGCACCGCGACAGAAGAGUAUUUUGUACCAGGCCAUAUAAAUUAUGCAUAUUCCGUAGAUAUUAACCUCGCUUGAUCAUCUUUUUAUCAUUAGAAUAUUGAGAGGGGGGGAGAAGGGAUUAUUAAUUGCCCUCAUUGUGCAGUUGUCUUCCCUAAACUGCACUGGUACAGUAUGUGGCCAAUGAGAGCUAUUCAUUUGUGUUUUCUUUAUUUGAUGGUAGAACGAUAUUUCAUGAAAUACUGUAUAAGCACUGAAAUAAAC
rnacentral:lncRNA from 1 species